UGGAAGAAGAGGAAGAAGACCGAAGUGGUAGGAGAGGAAGACAGGGAUAUUUCUUGGGUGCAAGCUUGGAUUUAGACUAAGAGUUGAUAGGGCUGCUUUUGGAAAUUUUGAAGAGGCGAGAUUGUGCAUAUUCCAAUAAAGGUUAUGGUUUAAGUGUUGCAUACAUGUGUGUGGUAGAAAGCUUGAUGGGUUUGAAUUUUUGAAGCCGGAAUCUGAUUCAAAACUCCCUGUUUGGUGUUUCCAAAUGCUGAAUAACUUUUAUAGAUGAUCAAACCAUGCUUAGAGAUGCUGAAAGGAUGACUGGAUGGAAAUUAAUGGAGCUGGAAUUUCA